GAAAAUAAAGCUUUCACGGUGCCCGUCGCAAUAGCCAAGAAAACUUGCUUGGCCUGCUUGUAGUUUCGCCCCGUUUCGCCCAUUCUGCUGCGUUCUGUGCGCCGCGAUGUCAAAACUGUUUGAGUUGUUGACCGAUCUCUCUUCGAGGCUCGAACAAUUGGUGUGAUGAGAGGGCAAGAUUCCGCCGCGCAGUCAUGAGACACCGCCGGUGACUCUUGGACUGUUGGCAGAGCUUCAGACCUUUCCAUCUACAGGAACCAUGGGCGAUCGAGACACGAGAGAGAAUGGAGGUCCCAGACGUCCAUCAAACACCAUUUAUCUGGAUGCAUUGGAGAGUGGUGAGGAGGACGAGCACGGCUACGUCCACCCAGCUCGACUCAAUGGCGCCGAGGUGCGGCGGCCGAGCGUACCCUACCACACCCGCAACCUCAUCAGGCAGCUGCCAUCUAGGAAUCUGG